UACAGAGGGGGCAAGCGUUAUUCGGAAUUAUUGGGCGUAAAGGGCGCGUAGGCGGCCUGGCAAGUGGAUGGUGAAAUCCCUCGGCUUAACCGAGGAACUGCCAUCCAGACUGCUUGGCUUGAGACCGGGAGAGGUGAGUGGAAUUCCCAGUGUAGCGGUGAAAUGCGUAGAUAUUGGGAGGAACACCAGUGGCGAAGGCGGCUCACUGGACCGGUCCUGACGCUCAGGCGCGAAAGCGUGGGGAGCGAUCCGG
rnacentral:rRNA from 1 species